UGUGGGGAAGGUUAAGCUCCACAGUCGGGCAUGGGCACAGGCAAUGUAAUUGCAUAAACAUCGUAGAAGAUAUCCAAGCUACUGGGCAAUUCAAUUUUCCUUGCUCUGGAAAUAGGUGAUCGUGGACACAUCUCGGCUUCUUUGUCCUGGACCCCUGAGGUUCCCCGGUGAAGCAACAUGAAGAGGCAGGGGGUCCACAUCCAGGGCCCCUGAUGCCUCCCUCUGCCCCUCAUGGAGGGAGAAGGCUGUCUGGGAGUCCAGGUGGGCCUGUGGGGGCCUGGAGAAAGG